GCACCCGGUGAUUAUAAAAAGACGCGUUAUUCUGAGGGUUUUACCAGAUGCCAGUUUUCAGUCUUUUCUCCUCUUUACAAUUUCUUCCUAUUUAUCUUUCUUUACCUCUUUUCUUCUCUGACGCUGACAGCUGGUCCUUUGAUUGCGAUUAUGAGAUAUGAGGGUGC